rnacentral:ncRNA from 1 species
GUAGGUGGCUUUUCAAGUCCGCCGUCAAAUCCCAGGGCUCAACCCUGGACAGGCGGUGGAAACUACUAAGCUGGAGUACGGUAGGGGCAGAGGGAAUUUCCGAUGGAGCGGUGAAAUGUGUAGAGAUCGGAAAGAUCAUAUUAAAAAUAAUAAGUAUGAAUGUAUGAUAAAUAAUAUUCAU